UUGCGGAUGGAGCUGACGAGAGUCGCAGAUACCAGGUGGCUGCAACUGUUUAUUAAAAACACAGCACUGUGCAAAAUCGUAAGAUGACGUAUACGGUGUGACGCCUGCCCGGUGCCGGAAGGUUAAUUGAUGGGGUUAGACUUCGGUCGAAGCUCUUGAUCGAAGCCCCGGUAAACGGCGGCCGUAACUAUAACGGUCCUAAGGUAGCGAAAUUCCUUGUCGGGUAAGUUCCGACCUGCACGAAUGGCGUAAUGAUGGCCACGCUGUCUCCACCCGAGACUCAGUGAAAUUGAAAUCGCUGUGAAGAUGCAGUGUACCCGCGGCUAGACGGAAAGACCCCGUGAACCUUUACUACAGCUUGGCACUGAACAUUGACCCUACAUGUGUAGGAUAGGUGGGAGGCUUUGAAGCAGGUACGCCAGUAUCUGUGGAGCCGUCCUUGAAAUACCACCCUUGUAGUGUUGAUGUUCUAACGUCGACCCCUUAUCGGGGUUGCGGACAGUGCCUGGUGGGUAGUUUGACUGGGGCGGUCUCCUCCCAAAGAGUAACGGAGGAGCACGAAGGUGGGCUAAUCACGGUUGGACAUCGUGAGGUUAGUGCAAUGGCAUAAGCCCGCUUGACUGCGAGAAUGACAAUUCGAGCAGGUGCGAAAGCAGGUCAUAGUGAUCCGGUGGUUCUGAAUGGAAGGGCCAUCGCUCAACGGAUAAAAGGUACUCCGGGGAUAACAGGCUGAUACCGCCCAAGAGUUCAUAUCGACGGCGGUGUUUGGCACCUCGAUGUCGGCUCAUCACAUCCUGGGGCUGAAGUCGGUCCCAAGGGUAUGGCUGUUCGCCAUUUAAAGUGGUACGCGAGCUGGGUUUAGAACGUCGUGAGACAGUUCGGUCCCUAUCUGCCGUGGGCGUUGGAAGAUUGAAGGGGGCUGCUCCUAGUACGAGAGGACCGGAGUGGACGAACCUCUGGUGUUCGGGUUGUGUCGCCAGACGCAUUGCCCGGUAGCUAAGUUCGGAAUCGAUAACCGCUGAAAGCAUCUAAGCGGGAAGCGAGCCCUGAGAUGAGUCUUCCCUGAUACUUUAAGUAUCCUAAAGGGUUGUCGGAGACUACGACGUUGAUAGGUCAGGUGUGUAAGUGCUGUGAGGCAUUGAGCUAACUGAUACUAAUUGCCCGUGAGGCUUAACCAU
rnacentral:rRNA from 1 species